GAAAAAACAAGAAGGCAAAAAGUCUUGGCCAGCAGGAGUCUCAGAUUGCAUCUUCAGAGAUCACAGAGCAGAAAGCCAAAGAAGCCAGGAGCCAGACAUUGAAGAGAAAUUUCCUCUGGAGGCUUGCUCAGAAGGGCACCUGGUGCUUCCCCUCUCUUCUCCCUCUUACAAGCAACGAAGGGGGAGUUAGAAAACACAAAACACCAGAACUAGGGAUGAAGGAAGGCACUGCUUAAACUGGUCACCAGGACAGCACAUCACCAGAGCCCCAGAACAGAGCUUCUCUGAAAUAGCAAUUGGGGCGGCUCCCACCAAG
rnacentral:lncRNA from 1 species